CACUGCACAGAUGCUGCAGAAGUUUGUGUCAUGCUGUGAUGAAGCUGGGACAAAACAGCUAAACUCUGUAAGAAUGAAGAGUAGCAAGUCAGCAGUUGUGAAAUGCAUCCUGUUUUGAUAAAGAAAUGACAAGGUGACAAGGAUUGUAUAUCACACAUGAACACAGCUUGCUUAUUUAACAUGGCAUCAGGGCCAGACUGGUCUCACAUUACAAUCACACAAUGGGGUGUAAGCAGAUUCCCCCAUCCCUCCCUUACAGCCCUAUAUAGGUUUGUCAGACUUCAGAUCCAGGUGCAGAAGAAUGAGCAGGUGCUGCAGUCUCAAUUAGUCCAUCCCUGGAGCAGGGGAGUAGGGACUAGAGGGAGUGUUGGAUCUCCCUGCCCAACUCACUGGCUAGCAUAGCUGAUCUAGGAGGGGGUGUCAUCAUUUACUGCUGUAAGUGGCCACUGCCUUCUGGAGCAAGAAGAAAGGGAGGGAAGAAUUGUUGUUGUUUAUAUGGGUGUCUCUGAGGCAUACAGUCCCUAGAGCUACCCCAGGUUGAUGCAACAUAGGCACCAGCCCUUGCUCGGGGGAGUGAACUAAUUCUCAGUCUAGCCCAGCUUAUAGACUGAGGGGCCGGUUGUUCAACUCUUACUGCAGUCGGUGAGCAUUCACUCAGGUGAAUGGUCUAGUGGGAAUCUAGUGAGAUGCUUCUACUGUUUAAACAUGGUGGUGGAGUCAGAUGAUACAACAUUGUGAGUUAACUAAUGUUGAAGUAAUGUGAGUGAAUGCUCACUUAAUUUAAGUAAGGGAUCCAACAACCAGUGCCUUUGUUUGCUGGUUAUGGAGUUGCUUUUCUUUUAUCAGCCUGGCAGGUUCUUUAUUGGUUGUUUAUUCACUCUAGUGAGUUUGUUUCCUGUUAUGAUCAAAAUAAAUGAAUACCAAAACCUCUUGUUCUCUCUCCCUACUAGGAAGUAGGUCACAUCUCAACCUGAGGAUCUGGAUUUGGGUUAUUUUUCAAGGAAACUUUUGUUAAAAGUUUGUCUGGGGAGAGCUAUACUAUUAAGGAGUCAUAGGCAUCCACCUAUUGCUGUGUAAUCCAUACCCCCACACCUGUUGUUGUCCCUUAGUCCUGAAUUGUAAAAUUAACAUUGUGGGCCAGAUUGUGACUAGGUCUGUGAGGGUCACAGGAGCAGGAGUGAGGGAGUAGGGCACAAGAAGAACCCACUGGAAAGGGCUAGAAGGCCUAGUCAUAGUCUUGGUCUUUGUGUUCAGUGGGCCUGAUCCAGCUCCCACUGCAGUCAAUGGAGGGACCUUCCAUUGCAUGGAACCAGGGCCUUUGUUGGCUGGAUAUGGAGUUUGUCUGAGGCCCCAUGCAAACAAGGAGGCUUGCUCUCUUAAUGCAAGGAUAGUAACCUCUACAAAGGAAGCUAGAGCAUGUGAUUGUAACAGGUACCUCUCUUGGCCUCACACAUCCCGGACUGUGUUCGCUCCCUCUAAGGGAGAGCUUCUCUGCACCCACUCCCCACCUUCUGUUUCACAGAGGUGUGCCCUGAGAGUGCGAUCAGUUUCUGUAUGGGCCUGAUCUAAAGCCCACUGAAGUCAAAGAGAGUCUUCCUAUUGCCUUGAAUGAGCUUUGGUUAGCCGCUAUCAUAAUCAGAAAUCUGACUGGCUGAAGAAGGUACUAGUUGUAUAGGUGUGGGACAUAAUCACAUGGGCCAGGGCUGAUUAACCAAUUGUUAUGGGGAAAUGUUGCAAAACCAUUGUAGAAACAGAGUAGUGCAUCUCAAGAGGACGGAGUCAUAGCAGAAAGCUAUAGCUAGUGAGUGGUUUAAGGCAACUUACUCUCAGUUGUGUCUUACGGUUGUCCUUGGGGAUUUAUCACUGACAUAAUACCCACCUUUUCAAGGAAUAGAGGUCUCUGUCUCCUGUGGAAACCAGACCAAAUUGCUUAGGUAACCUCAAAAACAGGAAAGGACAGAAAUCCAUACAUCGUUAUUUCAUUCAUCCCCCAAACCACAUUUUUUCCCAAAUGGGCAUCAGAAAUACCAGAAAGGUGAGAAAUAAGAUCUUUCAAAUUUAUAGCCUGAAUCAUCUCUGAAGAUUUUUAGCCCUCUAAUCUGUGAACGAUGAGUCUGAGGGUAGCGGGGUCAACAGAGUUAUAAAUUGGCCUAUAGACAAGGCUGACGUGAACGUAAAAGUAAAUCAAGUGCCAGGAGGAAGGGAAGAUCGUUGCUCACUGCCUGAGCAUACUUCCCCUGUCCUUUGGCAUGCUAGACGUGAUGACAACAGUCCAUUUUUCUUAAGAAACAGAUGCAAAGACAGAGAACCGGUGUUAAAAUGGAUGUUCCCUGUGCUGGCAUUGCCUAAUGCCAGCUCUUCCCAUUCACUGCGCUACAUCUUUUACUCAUGUUACUGUUUGCCUUUCUGGAAAAGUGAUGUGGAUUGUUCGUGUCCAGCGCAGCGGAAUUGGACUCUGUAGGCUAUUUAUGUUUAUCCCAAGUAGUAUAGAUCUAACCAGCUCUUAGAAUUUGAUUUCCCACUGGGACGGCAGAGCUGAUGGACAGCAGCCCACUCACUCUGAGAAGCCACUACUGCUCUUCAUGAGUGACUGGUGCUGCACAAGACCCAGGAGAAGACGUGGUCCUUGCCCUGAGGUGUUUACAUCCUAAGCAGAUGGAGAACACAGGAGACUCAGAGGAAGAGGAAGUUUGCCCCUCCUUUUGCAGAACAAAUGAGGGUGCAGCCUCCGACGCUGAAAGAGAAUUUUGUCCAAGCUGACGAUGCAAGAACUGCCCAUGCCAAGGCCCUGAGUCAUGCAACCCCUCAGGUUCUCUUGGCUCAUUUGCUUCCUGUGGUGCCAGAGCUCAGCCACCAGCCUGGGGUGGAAGGCGGAGCACUUGGGUUAAUAUUGACUCUAUAAAUAUUAUGACUGGGUGCUAAGAUGCACAUAGAGUAGAAGACAAUCCAACCCAUCCCCCCGCUCCUACCUAGUCUCCUAGUUUUAAUGCUGAUUCCUAGGGUGAUGGGGUAUCUAGUGGGAAGAGAAAAACAAUACUAAAAAGCUGGCACUUCUCCCUUCUUGCCUUCUGUGCUAUGCAGAUCUCCCCUUGCAGACCGAGGUGAAGAUCUGAACUAUAACACUGGCAUUUCAUCAAUUCCUAUCCUAGUGAUCGAUGCCAGCUUUCAGCGGGGUGGGGUGUCCCCAAUUCAUGUAGAGUUUAGUUCCUCUCCUAGAAGGCUGUGUUGGUGGGGCAACAAAAUAAUGAGCAUCUUCGUUGUUUUCAGUUCUCUGCAGAGACUUGCUUAUUUGUCAGUUGUGUGGAUUUCUGGUAAAGCAGGUGGCUUAGCUCUCAUUGGUUGCAAGGUGAUCUAUUGUAAAGUCUCAAAUUUAAGGACUGUCACUCUGUGACACUCUAUACAUCGGGCGAACAUCCUGCACCCCCAUGUUCAUCCUUAUAAUAUGAUUGUGUGGUAUCCAAUGCAAAGUUUGUCGUGUCGGGUGUCUUCGGAAGGCUUAUGAUGCACUGAGCAUUGUUGUUAUACUAAUGUUAUGGGUUGUAAUAUCAUGUAUGUAGUUAUGAGGCUGAAAAUGUGUCCUCAUGGCUUAAAACAAACCCAGGCAAAACUCUCCAGGAGUACAGGGGCAGUUCACAUCUCAUCAGGGCAUGUAUGGGACAAACCCAGCCCAGCCUCACAGGAACAAAGGACACUGGCCUAGGCAGCAACAAAGGAUCUGUCAGACUCUUGAGUGAGUCACCCCCCUUCCCUUGGUCAGUUUGGGACUAUGAUGAGGUAAUGCUCACCUGACCCUGAAGGGGUGGAGGCAAAGCCAAGAGCGAAGAAAGAACAUAAUAAAAGGGAGAGACAUUUGCCUGUGGUGAGAAGCAUCUAAGUUUGUAAGGGCACUGAAAGUGUUAAGAUCAGCUUAGAAUGUGUUUUGCUUUUGUUUCAUUUGACCAAAUCUGACUUUUUGACUAAUAAUCACUUAAAAUCUAUCUUCUUUAAUUAAUAAAUUUGUUUGUU